rnacentral:rRNA from 1 species
GUUCGGAAUCACUGGGCUUAAAGGGCGCGUAGGCGGGCUGACAAGUCUGGGGUGAAAUCCCACGGCUCAACCGUGGAACUGCCUUAGAUACUGUCGGCCUCGAGGAAGGUAGGGGCAUGCGGAACUAACGGUGGAGCGGUGAAAUGCGUUGAUAUCGUUAGGAACUCCGGUGGCGAAAGCGGCGUGCUGGACCUUUUCUGACGCUGAGGCGCGAAAGCUAGGGGAGCAAACGGG